AUUUAGAGGAAGGAGAAGUCGUAACAAGGUUUCCGUAGGUGAACCUGCGGAAGGAUCAUUGUCGAUGCCUCGCAAUCAACUCGACCGGCGAAUCUGUUUGUCCGCCCGGGUGCGUCUCGGGGCGUCGGACGCCCCGACCGCCCCUGUCGGGGGGCGGCCGUGGCCYGCCYGGCCUCCUCCCGACGAACACAAACCCCGGCGCUCCGUGCGCCAAGGAAUUCAAAACUGUCCGGUGCGGUCCCGGGGACCCGGAAACGGUGCUCCCGCGGGUCUCGUCACGGCACAAYAUGCAAAAUGACUCUCGGCAACGGAUAUCUCGGCUCUUGCAUCGAUGAAGAACGUAGCGAAAUGCGAUACUUGGUGUGAAUUGCAGAAUCCCGUGAACCAUCGAGUCUUUGAACGCAAGUUGCGCCCGAAGCCAUUAGGCCGAGGGCACGCCUGCCUGGGUGUCACACAUCGUUGCCCUCCCGCAAGCGUCGUUGCGGAGGGCGUGUGCUGGCUUCCCGCGAGCGCCGUCUCGCGGUUGGCUGAAAAUCGAGUUCGUGGUCGGGCGAGCCACGACGCAAUGGUGGACGAGCGACGCUCGAGACCGAUCGAUCGUGCGCGGCCCGGCCGGUGCGGACUCUCCGACCCCUGCGCGUCCCCGGACGCUCUCGGCGAGACCUCAGGUCAGGCGGGGCUACCCGCUGAGUUU
rnacentral:rRNA from 1 species